GACGAACGCUGGCGGCGUGCCUAAUACAUGCAAGUCGAACGCACAGUUUAUACCGUAGCUUGCUACACCAUAGACUGUGAGUUGCGAACGGGUGAGUAACGCGUAGGUAACCUGCCUGGUAGCGGGGGAUAACUAUUGGAAACGAUAGCUAAUACCGCAUAAUAUUAAUUAUUGCAUGAUAAUUAAUUGAAAGGUGCAAUUGCACCACUACCAGAUGGACCUGCGUUGUAUUAGCUAGUAGGUGAGGUAACGGCUCACCUAGGCGACGAUACAUAGCCGACCUGAGAGGGGGAUCGGCCACACUGGGACUGAGACACGGCCCAGACUCCUACGGGAGGCAGCAGUAGGGAAUCUUCGGCAAUGGACGAAAGUCUGACCGAGCAACGCCGCGUGAGUGAAGAAGGGUUUCGGAUCGUAAAGCUCUGUUGUAAGAGAAGAACGGGUGUGAGAGUGGAAAGUUAACACUGUGACGGUAUCUGAACAGAAAGGGACGGCUAACUACGUG
rnacentral:rRNA from 1 species